GAAAACUUUGGGCGAUAUUCUGAUUUGAGAUCAGCAGAACUCUUCCUCUUUACGAUGCCAACCAUCACAACAGGCAAUCUGGGAAUCCCUCCGUAAUAUACAGGCUCUUCAGUCCUCUUGCUUAUUAUAGCAGGCUAAUUUGUAUGGAUAAUUACAAUCCGUGACAGACAUUCAUAUUUGAAUAUUACUCACCCAGAUGAUGAUUGCAUUUAGCUCUGUCCACACUAACAACCAGGAACUUGGUUAAUAUUAAAUCAUAAUAAUAUUAUUUUUUAAUGUUUUAUUUAAGCUUUAUUUAAUUAUUUGACAAUAAUAAUAAUAAUAAUCAUUUGGUGGGUGCUUGCAUUUGUCUUGUACAAGUGUGUAUUCAUUUGCAUGUGUGAAUUGGAAAAUCUUUUUUUUUGCAUAUCCCAACUGUCCCUUGGAGAGUGGGGUCACAGCCAGGGUCUAUGACCAGAGGUUGGGUCACGGCCAGAGGUUGGGUCACGGCCAGGGUCUAUGACCAGAGGUUGGGUCACGGCCAGAGGUUGGGUCACGGCCAGGGUCUACGGUCACGGCCAGAGGUUGGGUCACGGCCAGGGUCACGGCCAGGGGUUGGGUCACGGCCAGGGUCACGGCUAGGGGUUGGGUCACGGCCAGGGUUACGGCCAGGGGUUGGGUCACGGCCAGGGGUUGGGUCACGGCCAGAGUUUGGGCCACGGCCAGGGUCUACGGUCAUGGCCAGAGGUUGGGGAUAAAGAGAGGCUGUUUGCUGCUACAGUGGUCUGAUAGCGGGUCUAAAAGUAGUGCACUAGGUAGGGAACAUAGCCCUAUAGGCCCUGGUCAAAAGUAGUGCACUAGGUAGGGAACAGAGCUCUAUGGGACCUGGUGUGCAAUCUGGGAUGCAUCUGGGAUGCCAUUUUAUAUUCCUUCUGUUAGCUCCAGCAGGCGUACAGACCCAGUGGAAUUCUACUGCUGCAUGAGGGAGUCUGUCUGUCUGUCUGUCUGUCUGUCUGUCUGUCUGUCUGUCUUCCUUGACACCUAAAGUACUUGUUACAUUCUGAAUGCAGGACAGGAAAAUAGUUCAAUUCACACACUUAUCAACACAACAUCCCUGGUCAUCCCUACUGCCUCUGAUCUGGAGGACUCUCUAAACAGAGAACAUCCCUGGUCAUCCCUACUGCCUCUGAUCUGGAGGACUCACUAAACAGAGAACAUCCCUGGUCAUCCCUACUGCCUCUGAUCUGGAGGACUCUCUAAACAGAGAACAUCCCUGGUCAUCCCUACUGCCUCUGAUCUGGAGGACUCUCUAAACAGAGAACAUCCCUGGUCAUCCCUACUGCCUCUGAUCUGGAGGACUCUCUAAACAGAGAACAUCCCUGGUCAUCCCUACUGCCUCUGAUCUGGAGGACUCUCUAAACAGAGAACAUCCCUGGUCAUCCCUACUGCCUCUGAUCUGGAGGACUCUCUAAACAGAGAACAUCCCUGGUCAUCCCUACUGCCUCUGAUCUGGAGGACUCUCUAAACAGAGAACAUCCCUGGUCAUCCCUACUGCCUCUGAUCU
rnacentral:lncRNA from 13 species